AUUUAAAUAGUUUAUUAGAAUAACAAUUUGUGGCGUUGUAGGUGCUUUUUAGCUUUAAAUC
rnacentral:tRNA from 1 species